rnacentral:rRNA from 1 species
AANGGCGAANCCUGAUGCAGCANCGCCGCGUGCGGGAUGACGGCCUUCGGGUUGUAAACCGCUUUCAGCUCCGACGAAGCGCAAGUGACGGUAGGAGCAGAAGAAGGACCGGCCAACUACGUGCCAGCAGCCGCGGUGAUACGUAGGGUCCGAGCGUUGUCCGGAAUUAUUGGGCGUAAAGGGCUUGUAGGCGGUUUGUCACGUCGGAAGUGAAAACUCAGGGCUCAACCCUGAGCCUGCUUCCGAUACGGGCAAACUAGAGGAAUGCAGGGGAGAAUGGAAUUCCUGGUGGAGCGGUGGAAUGCGCAGAUAUCAGGAGGAACACCAGUGGCGAAGGCGGUUCUCUGGGCAUUUCCUGACGCUGAGAAGCGAAAGCGUGGGGAGCAAACAGGCUUAGAUACCCUGGUAGUCCACGCCGUAAACGGUGGGCACUAGGUGUGGGACUCAUUCCACGAGUUCCGUGCCGUAGCUAACGCAUUAAGUGCCCCGCCUGGGGAGUACGGCCGCAAGGCUAAAACUCAAAGGAAUUGACGGGGGCCCGCACAAGCGGCGGAGCAUGCGGAUUAAUUCGAUGCAACGCGAAGAACCUUACCUGGGUUUGACAUAUGCCGGAAAGCUGCAGAGAUGUAGCCCCCGCAAGGUCGGUAUACAGGUGGUGCAUGGCUGUCGUCAGCUCGUGUCGUGAGAUGUUGGGUUAAGUCCCGCAACGAGCGCAACCCUCGUCCUAUGUUGCCAGCGGGUAAUGCCGGGGACUCAUAGGAGACUGCCGGGGUCAACUCGGAGGAAGGUGGGGAUGACGUCAAGUCAUCAUGCCCCUUAAGUCCAGGGCUUCACGCAUGCUACAAUGGCUGGUACAAAGGGCUGCAAUACCGCAAGGUUGAGCGAAUCCCAAAAAGCCAGUCUCAGUUCGNAUUGGGGUCUGCAACUCGACC